rnacentral:lncRNA from 1 species
GUGCUGGCAAGACCGAGCACGCCGGCGGCCGCAGAGCAGCAGGAGAUGUGUGGCUGAGGUGGGCCCACACACGCUUGCACAGGAAAGGUCUGAGGUAGAGAAAGGUUCUCUGGAAUGGUCUCAGGCCACUGUACAGCAACAGUUCUGAGUGGCCACAUAGUGCUGCAUUUGAACCCCUGACCCAGGAACAAAAUGAAUUACGUGUAGACUGAAGUAUGGAGAUGGGACAAUUCUGGUUUCUCACGUUUCAAAGGAAUAAAGCAGUGACUGUAGACAGUGAUUGCUUGGAGCUAGCUCUUCUCUUCCCAGCUUGCCUAUGGAUUCUCCUGAGCAGCCAUCUUUCAGAUGCAUGGCACAUUCUGGAAACCAGCUCAAGUGUAAAAUUUUGGGAAGAGCCUUUAUUGCUGACUUCAGACAGGAAAAUCACACCCUGGAAAAGGCCAAGAAUGCUAGCAGGUCUGUUCCCAGUAAAGGGCUGAUGGUACUUGCAUGGUGCAGAAACAUGUUGAAUUUUCUCUCUACUUCCUGAGAGAAUUAUUAGACUGGCUGGUUU